rnacentral:tRNA from 1 species
GCAGUCUUACUCAAGCGGUCGAAGAGGGUGGUCUUGAAAACCACUAGGCGUUGACAACAACGCACAUGGGUUCGAAUCCUAUAGGCUGCGCCA